rnacentral:rRNA from 1 species
AUUGAACGCUGGCGGCAUGCCUUACACAUGCAAGUCGAACGGUAACAGGUCUUCGGAUGCUGACGAGUGGCGAACGGGUGCGUAAUACAUCGGAACGUGCCCGAUCGUGGGGGAUAACGGAGCGAAAGCUUUGCUAAUACCGCAUACGAUCUACGGAUGAAAGCAGGGGACCGCAAGGCCUUGCGCGGACGGAGCGGCCGAUGGCAGAUUAGGUAGUUGGUGGGAUAAAAGCUUACCAAGCCGACGAUCUGUAGCUGGUCUGAGAGGACGACCAGCCACACUGGGACUGAGACACGGCCCAGACUCCUACGGGAGGCAGCAGUGGGGAAUUUUGGACAAUGGGCGAAAGCCUGAUCCAGCCAUGCCGCGUGCAGGAUGAAGGCCUUCGGGUUGUAAACUGCUUUUGUACGGAACGAAAAGACUCUUUCUAAUAAAGAGGGUCCAUGACGGUACCGUAAGAAUAAGCACCGGCUAACUACGUG